UGCAAGGAGUUACUGGGAAAGUUUGCUGCAGGGUAGGUGCAACCUGAGUGCUGAGGAUGAUAUUCAGUCAGAUUUUUUUGUAGUUAACCAUCCUGACAGCUCUCUGAGAAACGCAAACCUCUCUUUAAAGAUGAGGAGUGUUGGGAAGAGAAGGUUCAAGAACUCUGCCCCGGUGACAAGCUGGGUUUCACACGCAGGACCCACAAAGACAAGGCACUGAAUCCAAGGAAGAAAGGCAUGUGGGGUUUUAAGAAGUUGGUUCACCAUCUGGAACUCAAUAGCAUUCAGAUACCAGCACUCUGCUCCGGCGAUUCUCAUCAUUCAGACAGUUCAUUCUAGGGUGGUAAAUACAUCGAAAUACCUUCAAUGUAUAUGAAACACAAAUUGCCAAAGUUCCAAAUAUGCUAUUUCUGUGACCUAAACUAUUUGGUUACUAGUACUUUGAAAACCAAAGGAUAUAGAUGUGAAUCACCAAGAUCUUUUAGAACCAGGACUCUGCUGCUGUGAGACUGUUCGAGGCACUGUAAAAAAGAAAAAAAGGAUGCCGUUGCCCCAAGGUGCAAUGUAAGAGCACAGCUACUGAAAUACAUGAGAGAAGAGUCUGGAACUGCUCUUUGCAGCCACACCAGAGGCCAAGAAAAGGCUGCAAUACACCAUUCACCAGAAGAGGAUAAAGGACACAUUUGGCCAUUUUUUCCAAGAAAGGCCAUUUUUUUCUCUCUGUAUCUUCAGUAAAGCAGCAGAUUUGGAAUUAUUAAAGGCUCAGUCUGGGAAGUACCA